CAAUAGAUACCCGGGUAGUCCGCGCCGUAAACGAUGGUCACUAGGUGUGCGUGGUAUCGACCCCACGCGUGCCGCCGCUAACGCAGUAAGUGACCCGCCUGGGGAGUACGGCCGCAAGGUUGAAACUCAAAGGAAUUGACGGGGGCCCGCACAAGCGGUGGAGCAUGGGGAUUAAUUCGUCACUAACCGAAGAACCUUACCCAGGCUUGACAUCCGCUGGAAGUCCGGGAAACCGGCACCCCUCUCUCGAAAGAGAGAGCAGCGAGACAGGUGUUGCAUGGCUGUCGUCAGCUCGUGUCGUGAAAUGUUGGGUUAAGUCCCGCAACGAGCGCAACCCUCACUCCAUGUUGCCAGCGUCAAGUCGGGCACCCUUGGAGAACUGCCCGGGUAACCGGGAGGAAGGUGGGGAUGACGUCAAGUCGGCAUGGCCCUUACGCCUGGGGCUUCACCCAUGCUACAAUGGGCGCGACAGAGGGACGCAAGACCGCGAGGUGGAGCCAAUCCCACAAAGGCGCUCUCAGUUCGGAUUGCAGGCUGC
rnacentral:rRNA from 1 species